rnacentral:tRNA from 1 species
GGUGGGGUGGCAGAGUGGACUAAUGCGCCUGCCUUGAAAGCAGGUGGCCUUCCGGCCGCAUGGGUUCGAAUCCCAUCCCCACCG